GUCAUUAAUUUGGUGAUUAUGAUAACAUAAGGGAAAAAAAAUGAUAUUACCUUAUUAUUAGUGUUGUCCAAAACUGGUGCCAGAAGACUCGGUAAGACCAGAGACGCAAACGUUAGUCAUCUUAAUCAGGCGUAAAGGGUGUGUAGGCUGCUUUAAAAAUUUAAAUCUUUUUAAUAGCUCUUUUGCCGUUGUCCUGCCAUUAUUUAUUUUAUUUUUAAAAUAAUAAACAAUAAUGAAUAUAAAGGCAGUACAUUUUUUAAUUUUAUUAAUAUUAAUUUAAUUUAAUAAUUAUAAAGGGGACAAAAAAGAUAUCCCGGUUUAAGUAAAAAGAAUAAAAUGAAUUAAAGCUAGAAUCAAAUUGAGGAUAAACCAAAUAAUACUUAGAGUAGGGCCGAUAUCCGCAGAUACUAAGGGGAAUACUAAAGGUGAAAGCUUUUUAUCUACUAUUGAUUGACGCUGAGAAACGAAGGUGAGAACAGGAAAUAGGAUUUGAUACCCAGAUACCUCUCACUGUCAACGAUGAAUGGUGGUUGUUAGUUUUAAUAAAAACUGGUAACGAUGUUAACACGAUAACCAUUCCGCCUUGCGAGUACGGUUGCAAAACUGAAACCUC
rnacentral:rRNA from 1 species